rnacentral:lncRNA from 1 species
UUCAAAGUAUCCACCAUCCUACUAAAUACCAAAAUAAUCUAAACAGAACCAGAGUUUAACAAGAGACAAAUAGAUCAAUCAUCAGACAGGUUAUACUCAGAGCCGGAUGCAUCAGCCUCAUCGGCAGCCCUCAUUUCCUCUUCAAGAUUUUGAAGCAUCAGAUUCACUCUUUCUUCGCAUUUGGUCCAGGCUUUUUCAUUCUCAUACGCCUGUUUUCGAGCAGCCUUAUAGGAUUGCACCAUUAAUUUUGACAUAUUGGAGAAUUUAGUGAAGACUUCUUUGAUGGAUUCUCCAACCUUUGCUGGCU